CACGUAGGGCGCAAGCGUUGUCCGGAAUUAUUGGGCGUAAAGAGCUCGUAGGCGGUCUGUUGCGUCCGCUGUGAAAACUCGGGGCUUAACCCCGAGCCUGCAGUGGAUACGGGCAGACUAGAGGUAGGUAGGGGAGAAUGGAAUUCCCGGUGCAGCGGUGAAAUGCGCAGAUAUCGGGAGGAACACCGGUGGCGAAGGCGGUUCUCUGGGCCUUACCUGACGCUGAGGCGCGAAAGCCAGGGGAGCAAACGGG
rnacentral:rRNA from 1 species